rnacentral:rRNA from 1 species
UACGUAGGGUGCGAGCGUUGUCCGGAAUUAUUGGGCGUAAAGAGCUCGUAGGCGGUGUGUCACGUCGGCCGUGAAAACCUGCAGCUUAACUGUGGGCGUGCGGUCGAUACGGGCAUCACUGGAGUUCGGCAGGGGAGACUGGAAUUCCUGGUGUAGCGGUGGAAUGCGCAGAUAUCAGGAGGAACACCGGUGGCGAAGGCGGGUCUCUGGGCAAUUCCUGACGCUGAGGCGCGAAAGCGUGGGGAGCAAACGGG